rnacentral:rRNA from 1 species
CAGUCGCCGCGGGAAAUACGGAGGGUGCAAGCGUUAAUCGGAAUUACUGGGCGUAAAGCGCACGCAGGCGGUCUGACAAGUCAGAUGUGAAAUCCCCGGGCUUAACCUGGGAACUGCAUUUGAAACUGUCAGGCUGGAGUCUUGUAGAGGGGGGUGGAAUUCCAGGUGUAGCGGUGAAAUGCGUAGAGAUCUGGAGGAAUACCGGUGGCGAAGGCGGCCCCCUGGACAAAGACUGACGCUCAGGUGCGAAAGCGUGGGGAGCAAACAGGAUUAGAUACCCCUGUAGUCCCUGUCUCUUAUU